rnacentral:rRNA from 1 species
CCUACGGGUGGCAGCAGUGGGGGAUAUUGCACAAUGGGGGAAACCCUGAUGCAGCGACGCCGCGUGAGUGAAGACGUAUUUCGGUAUGUAAAGCUCUAUCAGCAGGGAAGAAAAUGACGGUACCUGAUUAAGAAGCCCCGGCCAACUACGUGCCAGCAGCCGGGGGAAUAAGGAGGGGGCCAGCGUUAGCCGGAUUUACUUGGUGGAAAGGGAGCGUAGGCGGAAGCACAAGGCUGGAGUGAAAUGCCGGGGGUUAACCCCGGAACUGCCUUGGAAACUGUGCAGCUAGAGUGAAGGAGAGGGAGGUGGAAUUCCUAGUGUAGCGGUGAAAUGCGUAGAUAUUAGGAGGAACACCAGUGGCGAAGGCGGCUUACUGGACUGUAACUGACGUUGAGGCUCGAAAGCGUGGGGAGCAAACAGGAUUAGAUACCCCAGUAGUC